rnacentral:lncRNA from 1 species
UGGGGAGAGUUCUGUAGCUGCUUUUUCUUCCCCGUUAAUCAAUUUGGUAAAUAAACUGAUAGGCACCUUGUGCAGGCUUGACUCACUGGUGCAAAAGAAGAAAACAUCUUUGCACAGAGGUGAUACUUGAAAGCAAGACAAGGGGAGAUGAAGGAACUAUGAUACGUUUAAAAAAUUAUAAUGAAAAAUCUGUUGCAUAGCCACCAUAUGGUGGGAAGUGUCAUUUUAUUAGUUUGCGAGUUUUCCUUUCCUGUAUUCUCGGCUCCAACUGUGAUCUGGUUACAGUGACAUCUGCAGCCAUCGAGGUUAAGGGGACUGAGGCCCCAGGACACUUUUCAACAGUAACUGUGACCAGUCCAAGUGGUCAGAGUCAGUGGAAUUCCCAAGGAGACGGGGCCGGGAAGACUUCAUCUGAGGGGCUCACUCCUGGGACGAGCUAUCCAGUCAGCUUUUCAGACGCCUCUUCUACCUGCUGUCAAGUGCAAACAGAACCCAGUCCUACGUCUGUCACUGAAGCUGUUUCCAUCGGUCCAUCCAGUGAGACCUCAACUUGGAAAAACAACAACAUAACUGCUUCUAACAAUGGUGAGCUGCUUACAACAAAGAGUGAGAUAGAAAACAGCCCGAUGACUCUUGUUGCAAGUCCAACAGGAGAUAACAUCACAGAUUUCAGUCCAACAACUCCACAUCCACACUCUAUCACUACAGAAUUAGUCAGCAAGCCUACUGGAGAGCCUGCAGACAGAGCUGUUAUAACAG